UUCUGUGAGAGAGUAGAAAAAAGGGUCAUUAUUUGAGUAUUUAUAUUCAGCCUUAGUAUUUUAAAAAUAACAUUCUAUUUAAAAGUGACAUUUUUCACAGUUUUAUGAUGUGAACGUCAUUAUGUCUUAAAGCAGUGAUGAUGUGAAAAAAAACCUUAGAAAUACUAAUGUGAACUAAAUAUUUAAUUUCAAGGGACAUAGUUUUACAUUAAUUAUUCAUUUUCCCUGGUCUUUCAUAGUGUUUAUCGGUGGCAAGGAUAUAUCCUUAAAACAGAAACCUGCACUCUGGGUGAGAAUGCUUUGAUGUGUUACCAUAAAUGAGGACUUGUUGGCACUAAAAUACCUCCAGGCUGCCCCAAAUCAAACAUCUAGGUUUUCGAGCCGAGGAGAGCCAAAAGUCUUUUGUAUCCUGAGAGUGGAAGACAGUGAUCUUUGUGCUGCCGGCCUUGGGCACUACUGGGAAGCUCUAAUGAGCCAAGAGGUGGGAAGUGCUCUGGUGACUGGAGUACCACCCAGAUGUAAGACAGUAUCCUUAAAUGACUCUCCUGAGAAACCCUCUGGCCCACAUUUCUACGUCACUUCAGAUCCACAGGAGUCAAGUUUCUCUGUCAAUCUACGGAAGUCUUUGUAAGCAUCAGUGAUGGAGGAGACCCGGAUCCAAAAGCCAGCCAACCUGCAAACAAACGGUAACACAGGCAGGCUGGUUGCCGACUCUGAAAAACAAGCGCCCAGCCUACAGCUGCUGUCUCAAAUGUGGGCGAGAGGCCCUUCAGCGGCGGAGUUACACAGAUCUUCACAGGCCUCCAACCACAGGACCCGCGUGCAAAUACCGCACGUAAGUGCUGUGUGGUUUCCACUUGCACCUGCCAGGCCAAGGGUGUAAAAUAGUUUAUAUGGCAAAUUCUGAGUCUUCUAAGAGCUGCUUCAUGAUCUCUGAAAGAAAGACCAGACAGAGAUAGUCCUGACCAGCUGCUGAAGGCCUCCAUGCAGGUCUACCCUUACCUUCUGCAGUUGACUGAGCCUUAAAUGAAACUUUCUGUAGCCUCUCUGAAAGACAGGGGCAGGUGUUCGACAUCCUGUUCCUAAAAGGUGAGCCAAAUGACUACCCUGAAUGCCCACAUGUUUUUCUUUUCGGGGUUACCUGUUACACCUGUGUGUAUCUUUAACUCGGUAUCCUGCAAUAAUUUUACCCGUAGAG